rnacentral:tRNA from 3 species
GCCGGAGUGGCGGAAUUGGUAGACGCAAGGGACUUAAAAUCCCUCGGGGCGUUGCUCCGUACCGGUUCGAGUCCGGUCUCCGGCACCA